GACGAACGCUGGCGGCGUGCUUAACACAUGCAAGUCGAACGGAAAGGCCCUGCUUUUGUGGGGUGCUCGAGUGGCGAACGGGUGAGUAACACGUGAGUAACCUGCCCUUGACUUUGGGAUAACUUCAGGAAACUGGGGCUAAUACCGGAUAGGAGCUCCUGCUGCAGGGUGGGGGUUGGAAAGUUUCGGCGGUUGGGGAUGGACUCGCGGCUUAUCAGCUUGUUGGUGGGGUAGUGGCUUACCAAGGCUUUGACGGGUAGCCGGCCUGAGAGGGUGACCGGCCACAUUGGGACUGAGAUACGGCCCAGACUCCUACGGGAGGCAGAAGUGGGGAAUAUUGCACAAUGGGCGGAAGCCUGAUGCAGCAACGCCGCGUGCGGGAUGACGGCCUUCGGGUUGUAAACCGCUUUCGCCUGUGACGAAGCGUGAGUGACGGUAAUGGGUAAAGAAGCACCGGCUAACUACGUG
rnacentral:rRNA from 1 species